rnacentral:rRNA from 1 species
UACGGGGGGGGCAAGCGUUGUUCGGAAUUACUGGGCGUAAAGGGCUCGUAGGCGGCCAACUAAGUCGGAUGUGAAAUCCCCAGGCUCAACUUGGGAACUGCAUCCGAUACUGGAUGGCUUGAAUUCGGGAGAGGGAUGCAGAAUUCCAGGUGUAGCGGUGAAAUGCGUAGAUAUCUGGAGGAAUACCGGUGGCGAAGGCAGCCCCCUGGGUCAAUACUGACGCUCAUGCACGAAAGCGUGGGGAGCAAACAGG